CAGGCAACGAGAAUUUCGGGUUGAGAGCAGCAUGGGUGAGCUAGAGAGAGCUGUGGAAGGGAAGGUGUCCAGGCAGAGCCAGGGGCAGGAGCAGUGUAGCUAAGAGGGAAAGAAUUCCCAUUUCCAAGACCCUCCAUUCCAUUCUUGAGUGCCCACCUGUGUUCUAACCACCUCUCUCCUCACACUUCCAGAGAGGCCCCCACAGUACCUACUCCUAGGUUUUUUUAAAAUUCCCCUUGGCCUCAGGGUGACCUCUGGCUCACAGGCUGCACAGCCUUUAUGAGAAUUCUCAGGCUCACCUGCUGGUGUCCCACUCUCUGGCU
rnacentral:lncRNA from 1 species